UGGCUGGGUUGCUCUGCAAAAAUGUUUUUAAUAUACAGUUUUUGCGACCAAUCCAAGCCAAA
rnacentral:pre_miRNA from 1 species